rnacentral:rRNA from 1 species
UACGUAGGGUGCGAGCGUUGUCCGGAAUUAUUGGGCGUAAAGGGUGCGUAGGCGGUUGUUUAAGUCUGUCGUGAAAUCCCCGGGCUCAACCUGGGAAUGGCGAUGGAAACUGGGCAGCUAGAGUGUGUCAGAGGAUGGUGGAAUUCCCGGUGUAGCGGUGAAAUGCGUAGAGAUCGGGAGGAACAUCAGUGGCGAAGGCGGCCAUCUGGGACAACACUGACGCUGAAGCACGAAAGCGUGGGGAGCAAACAGG